rnacentral:rRNA from 1 species
UGAGGGAUAUUGGUCAAUGGGCGCAAGCCUGAACCAGCGACGCCGCGUGGGUGAAGAAGGUCUUCGGAUCGUAAAGCCCUUUUCCCACUGAAGAGGAAGGACGGUAGGUGGGGAAGAAGUCUCGGCUAACUACGUGCCAGCAGCCGCGGUAAAACGUAGGAGACAAGCGUUAUCCGGAGCUACUGGGCGUAAAGGGCGUGCAGGUGGCGUCUUAAGUCUGUUGUGAAAGCGCCUGGCUUAACCGGGCGAGGCCAAUGGAGACUGAGAGGCUGGAGGACGGCGGAGAGGUGUGGAAUUCCGGGUGUAGUGGUGAAAUGCGUAGAGAUCCGGAGGAACACCAGAGGCGAAGGCGGCACUCUAAGCCGUACCUGACACUGAGACGCGACAGCACGGGGAGCAAACG